GGCGUUCGCAGGGCGUGGUGGACUGCCCGGGCCAACUACGGCGGCAGCAGAGGAAGCCGGUGCGAAUCCGGCGCGGUCCCGCCACUGUCAGCGGGGGAACUUCCCCGCGAGCCAGGAACUCUCACCGCCGAUCACGUCGAA
rnacentral:ncRNA from 2 species